UACGUAGGGCGCAAGCGUUGUCCGGAAUUAUUGGGCGUAAAGAGCUCGUAGGCGGUUUGUCGCGUCUGCUGUGAAAACCUAAGGCUCAACCUUGGGCUUGCAGUGGGUACGGGCAGACUAGAGUGCGGUAGGGGUGACUGGAAUUCCUGGUGUAGCGGUGGAAUGCGCAGAUAUCAGGAGGAACACCGGUGGCGAAGGCGGGUCUCUGGGCUGACACUGACGCUCAUGCACGAAAGCGUGGGGAGCAAACAGG
rnacentral:rRNA from 1 species